rnacentral:tRNA from 1 species
GAUCCCGUGGGGGUACGGUUAUCACUCUGGACUCUGAAUCCAGCAAUCCGAGUUCAAAUCUCGGCGGGUUCC